GUAAAUUUAUCUCUUGUAAUUCUUUGAAGUCUGUGUUUUAAGUUGGAUUCCUGCAGAAUGGAUUUGCAUUUGUUUCUUCCAGGUACCCAGGGACUCACAGGUAGUAUGAAUUUGUGCCUUCAAACCGUAAGAGGACCUGCUUGUUGCAAGAAACUCAGGGAAAUUUCCUACCUCCCUGCCUCCAGCCAGAGCCAAGGCCAAAUGAGGGGUGAACUCAACAUUGACCGUUUGAAGAUCUUGGCUGAUCCUGGUUUGCCCCUGAGGGGUUUACUUCAGUUACUCAUGGUCCACCGUGGCCCAGAAAAAAAUGAUCCUUCUCCUGACCCAUCAUCAGAAAGUCAAUGGCGGCCUAACGCUGUGUCACAUCUCGUCAUCAAAAGAAGAAGAAAGGACGUUUGCUGGAAAAGGCCCUUUCUUACUACAACAGGGGUACCUGUUACUGUCCAAGAAUGUGGGGCGUCACCAUUAACUGGAAGGCACAUGAGAAGUGUAGCUUCGGAGUGUGCAUUGCACAUCCAGGUUCUAUGUGAACUUGGGCAAACAGGAAAAACCGGUCUCAUCUGCCUAGUCGGUUCCAGUGGCUUUAUUUUCCAUCUUGUUCGCCCUCUGCUGGUUUUUCAGAAGAAGAACACGAAUGGUAAGAACUAGAUUCUCUGACGCUGUUACAUUUUUCUUGUUUUGUUUUUGUUUUGGGAAGUCAAAAUUCCAGUUGACACCCACCACACACAGGCAAGUCAUGAAAGAUGUUGAAAGAGGGGCUCCUGAGGGUCUGCCUUCAGCUCAGGUCGUGAUCCCAGAGUCGUGGGAUCAGUGCCCUAUGUCAGGCUCCCAGCUCAGCGGGGAGCCUGCUUCUCCC
rnacentral:lncRNA from 1 species